rnacentral:misc_RNA from 1 species
GCCCUUCCUAGUGUAUGACCCCCUGAUAGAGCCACUAUAUCUUUGUCAGACAAACCCAUCCUAUAAAAUACGUCUUUAAGAUGCGGCACACCUUGUUUAGCAUCUGGUAACCGCCCUUCCUUUGGAGAAACACUGGAAUCCUUCCUACCAGGGACAAAUUCAAUAGUCGGACCACCAGUCACCUCAACUGCAACAACACCUGCAAGCUGGUAUAGAUCUGCAUACGUAAUCUUCGGAUGUUUAGACUUAACUGCUUCGCAAAAAUCAAGAGCGAUUUUCAAGCCAUUAUUAGCACCGUGAGUGAACUCUUCCUCAUUUCUGAUAGAACCAUUGGGUCCACCAGUCUUAGAUUUAGCAUCAUAGGUUCCUGCAUCGUGCCACGCUAAGCGAAGCAUGAUCGGAGCACAGCUUUUGUUGGAGAUGAGAGCGCGGAGGUCUCGACGAGCUUUCUCGAUUUCUUUGAUGUACUCCGUGUCAACGAUUGGCUUCGCCAUUGGAGAACCGAUCGACAAUGAGGAUAAGAUUUUUAGAAAAACUAGAAACGGAGACACUACCGUGAGGCUUCAAUUGGUUAUUGGAACUUGGAGCUAAAAGAGGCGGGUCAAACAAGUUUAG